AUUAAAGAGUGAAGGACUGAUCAGGCUGUUUGAAGAGAAACUUUGCCAUAUCUCACACUUUAUCAUCCUUAAGGGUGAAUUGGCCUGGAAGUUGUUCAUUCUCUCCCAAGCCUGAAACAGCGGAUAAACGACCCCACCUCAUGCUGGGAAGAGAGAGCUUGGGAUCCCUGGCACGUGAGAAACAGAGCCUGGCGUAGAUCAGAGCUCUCCAUCCAGAGUGUCAUGACUUAGCUGCGUGCUUUCACCAGCAGGGAGGAGGGAACUGAUACUGGAGAAAUAUACUUUCCUCCUCCAUCAUGGUGAUUCAUAACCUUCUAAAACCUUACGAUUCUGAAAACCCACACAAACACAUUGGGACCUCUCCCAGCCCUUGACUCACUGUCGGCAUUCUCAAGAUGACCACAAUGAGCAGCAUUGAAGAGCCAGCGUUCAAAUGCUUCUCCCACAUGGGAGUCAGUAUUCUGCAGAGAUGGAUGAUUCUCAGAUCACCACUUAGCUUCCUGAAGCCAGCAACCUAUGUCAAAGGUAGGAUACAACAACCAUCUUAUACAGCAUCUUGACUUUAAAAAGAGUAGAAGAUGACUCAUUUAAAUUAAAAGAUUGUCCAGAAAUAAAAAGGGCGUCAUCCAGGAAAGAUAAAGAAUAGAUGCUGUAUUGUUGAGAAAAGUUGAAGGAAUCCUAUUCAA